rnacentral:lncRNA from 1 species
UUUUUUUUUAAGAUUGUAUUUAUUUAUUUAUGAGAGAGAGAGAGAGAGAAAGGCAGAGACAUAGGCAGAGGGAGCAGCAGGCUCCCCACAGGGAGCCCAAUGUGAGAUUCCAUCCCUGGAUCCAGGAUCACACCCUGAGCUGAAGGCAGACACUCAACCACUGAGUGUUUUAAUAACUGAAACAUGAGAACCAUGUGGGGCAAUGCAAAUCAAUUUCUCCAGAGUAUUGAGUGCCACUUGCUUAUUUCAGUGCUUCGCAAGAAGAAAAGUCAAUGAAUUUGGCAAAAUUAUCAACUUGAACAGCAGAAAUCAACAUCUUCUUACUUAUGAAAGCAAUAACCAGCAACUAUCUGUUAGGAAAGAGAGGAGAGAAUGGCUGGUAAAUGAAGCAAAUUCUGAAAAGUUCAAGUAUGCUGAGACAAAGGAGCCCCAGUCUUCAGGAUAACCAGUGACAAGUUAAUUCUUGACUCUGAGGCUUCCUAGCCUGUUCUAAAACACUCUUAAAAAACUACCCAUCACAGAGAAGUUGGCUCUUUAUAUGUGACCAGAGGCAGCUCGUCUCCUCCAGCAGACAGGCACAGAACAAGGAAGCAGGAGCCAUGGUUUUUAGUUCCACCUCAGCCACUGACUUGUUUUGUGAUUUUGAUCAAGUUCCUUCACCAACUAAACCUCAGAGAGGUGCUAGAAGAACUCAAUGAAAUCACAGAUAUGGAAGUACUCUGCAAAGCAAAGAGUCCUGUACAAGUGUGAGGGAUUAUUAUCAAAACAGAUUUUAUGCCAACCUUUCUGAUAUCACCUCAAAGCCUCCUCAGCUUUGAUGCAGGAUUCCCAGCUCCCUAGUUGCUUCUUCUAAAUCCUACUGGCAUGGAAACAUGAGCUUGCACCUUCCUGUCUCUUGCCAACUGCAUCCUUAAUGAGGCCAGAUGGUUAUUCUUUACCAGCUCUAGUCUCUCCCAGAGGGGCACAGUCUUCCUCAGAAAAAAGACCCUCCCUUCCAUAAACAGCAAUGACUCUUUAGGCACAAUCUACCUAUGUGGUAAGUGUGAAGCAAGGAAGAAAGAAAGCUGGAGCCAUCUACAGCUUCAGAGGAGAAAUCUGUAAUUUGAGUAAAACUUGCUUGACAAGCUCUCAGUAUCUAUAACACACACACACACACACACACACACACACACAGUUAAUGAAAGACUCAGUUUAGUCCAUAUACCAUAGCAAUCAGAAAUCUUACCUGAUUUCCUCUCCCUGCUCCUAAUCCCGUGCUGCCCACUCUGAGUUUGUCUUCUCUCUACUGCCUGUGAAGAUUCUAAUUCAGUGCUGCCAAUUUAUACACUCCUGGGAGGGACAGGAUUCCAGGAAUCUUUGUCCCUGCCAAUCAUAAGUUAGAAUUCCCAAAUUUUUGGUCAUGUCUGAUUUAACCCUGUCUAUAUAUUACAUGAAUGUUAUUGGCUUCCUAACUGGGGACAGGAGUUGGCCUCAAAAUUAAGAAUCCGUUGUUUCAUUC